rnacentral:rRNA from 1 species
AAUCAACGCUGGCGGCGUGCCUAACACAUGCAAGUCGAGCGCGAAAGGGAGCUUCGGCUCCUGAGUAGAGCGGCGGACGGGUGAGUAACACGUGGGCAACCUACCUUCGGGUGGGGAAUAACUUCGGGAAACCGGGGCUAAUUCCGCAUAACAUUUCGGGCUCUCAGAGUCCGUAAUCAAAGCUGGGGACCCUUCGGGGCCUGGCGCCUGAAGAGGGGCCCGCGGCCGAUUAGCUUGUUGGUGAGGUAACGGCUCACCAAGGCUGCGAUCGGUAGCCGGCCUGAGAGGGCGGACGGCCACACUGGGACUGAGACACGGCCCAGACUCCUACGGGAGGCAGCAGUGGGGAAUUUUUGUCAAUGGGGGAAACCCUGAACAAGCAACGCCGCGUGGAGGAUGAAGGCUUUCGGGUCGUAAACUCCUGUCGGAGGGGACGAAGGCGAUUGGGGUCAAUACCCUCAGUCGUUGACGGUACCCUAUGAGGAAGCCCCGGCUAACUCCGUG